GACGAACGCUGGCGGCGUGCCUAACACAUGCAAGUCAGGGAGGAAAGGGUAGCAAUAUCCGUGAGUAAACCGGCGAACGGGUGAGUAACACGUAGGCAACUUACCUUGAGAACGGGAAUAACCCCCGGGAAACCGGGGCUAAGUACCCGAUGUUAUUCCGUUGUAGCAUUGCAAUGGAAUAAAAAGCCCGCAAGGGCGUCGACAAGAUAGGCCUGCGUCCCAUUAGAUAGUUGGCGGGGUAACAGCCCACCAAGUCGACGAUGGGUAGGCUGGUCUGAGAGGACGAUCAGCCACACUGGAACUGAGACACGGUCCAGACUUCUACGGAAGGCAGCAGUGAGGAUAUUGCUCAAUGGGCGAAAAGCCUGAAGCAGCGACGCCGCGUGAAGGAUGAAAUCCGUUAGGACUGUAAACUUCUUUUGCGGGGGAAGAAUGUGCGCCUUGGGCGCAUUGACGGUACCCCG
rnacentral:rRNA from 1 species